GAACAGAUCGUAACUGUGGUUUUUCUACUCUCCAGAUGCAAACAACUGCUGCCAACAGAAAAUAUCCCAACCUCACCGAAAUGGUGAGGGGGCCUCAACAUAUUCUUCUUUAUAUUUGCUUCCUGAUCAUCAAAAUAUGGUUCAUUCGUCAGUUUCAAGGGCCAUAUGAAUCUACACAUGAUGAAAAGUUGGAUGGGAUCUCAAAACUAAUCUCAAAGCUGAUCAGUUAGAGAAACCAAGGCCCGGAGAAGAAGCCAGAAUCCCUCAAGGAAUCAGGAUUUGAAUUGAGCGUCUUUAUACCACUGGUGUAAUUCUCUUCUCUCUUUUAUUAACUGAUUUAUUCAUUCCAUAAACAUUUACUGAGCACCUAUUAUGUGCUAGCCACAAGACUAUCCUAAUCUCUCUCCCAAAAUGUAGUCUGUGAAAGUAUUAUACCAUCUUUUGGAGGGCCUGGGUGGCUCAGGCAGUUGAGCAUCUGACUUCAGCUCAGGUCAUGAUCUGACAGUUCGUGGGUUCAAACCCCGCCUCAGACUCUGUGCUGACUGCUUGCUCAGAGCCUGGAGCCUGCUUCAGGUUCUGUGUCUCCUUCUCUCUCUGCCCCUCCCCCUGCUCAUGCUUUGUCUCACUCUGUUUCUCAAAAAUAAAUAAAUGUAAAAACAAAUUUUUUUUUUUUUA
rnacentral:lncRNA from 1 species